AAAAAAAAAAAAAAAAAAACUAUGACGAUAGCAAUCCCAUUUUUUUUUUUUAACCAAUUGCUGUCUAACAUUUGUUGUCAGGUCAUUUCUUCUACCGGAUAAAUGAAGCAAUAAUUCAACUCCCCAAACACAAAGCUCCAAAAAAUUGGGAUGCGCCAAGGAAAACUUCAGGUAAAAUUUCCCUCAACAAUUUCCCGACUUCACUAACAUGUUCACUUAUGCACAUUUCUGUACCCACCCCUGAAAAAACGAAAAAUCCCCAAGUCCCCCAAAUGCCAACAAUUUUGGGGAAAAUUAUAUAAAAAAUAAAUCUAAGAAAAAACCUAUAUGUAAGAAAACUAAAAACUAAUGAUGUCUUGUAUUUGAGCUCCGAAGAGUCACACCAUGUAAAAAU
rnacentral:misc_RNA from 1 species